rnacentral:lncRNA from 1 species
UUCCUACCAGCGGUCUGCUUCUCCCAUUAACAUGUAGGUAGCAAGGGUGACUUUCUAUUCGGGAGUCACUCCCAGGGUCUUGAAGGCCUUCUCUGUCUCUGCUAACUAGUACUCGGCAUCUUUAAAAGAGGAUCCUCCUGCAAAAGUAAAUGGAUUUAGUCUCUUGUACCUCUCUAUAUAGACUGGGCCAUCCUGAGGAUAGACUGGGGGGCCAUAUGGUGGUACUUGCUGAUACAGUGGGGACACCGAAUUGUACUAUGGCGGUGCCGGGUAGUACUAUGGUUGGGGCACCAGAUCAUACUGUGGUGGUGUCGGGUUGUACUGUAGAGGAGCAGGAUCAUACCGGGGUGGCUUGGGAUCCUCUCGUUAUAGGGAUGGCUCAACCUGCGGCAGUGGGGGAGGGUCAAGUAGCUCCCUCCUCUCCUCUCGGCCCUGCUGGGCAGCAAUAAGUCUCUCCAGCAUCUCAAAUAUCCGGUUAACAUCUUCCCUAAGUAAACCAUCUCGGGCUGCUCGGUUUAGUGUUGGUCUUCCUCUCCUCAUCUCUCUGUACAUGCAUUUCACAAGGAAGGGUUGAGUGAUAAUUUAUUAUUUUGGUAUUUCUCUAAGGAUUAUUGGGUAAGGAAUGGGUCUAAGGAACACAACUCUUAUAUCAACUGUAACGACCCUGGAA